rnacentral:rRNA from 1 species
UAUGUGAUCGUCUCUCGCAUAUCAAUAAGCGGAGGAAAAGAAACUAACAAGGAUUCCCCUAGUAACGGCGAGUGAAGCGGGAAGAGCUCAAAUUUGAAAUCUUAAAGGGUUUCCCUUUACGAAUUGUAGUUUAAAGAAGUGUUCUCUGUUGAGGUUUUGGUAAAAGUUCUUUGGAAUAGGACAUCAUAGAGGGUGAGAAUCCCGUAUUUGACCUUUACUUUCAACUUUGUGAUACACUUUCAAAGAGUCGGAUUGUUUGGGAAUGCAGUCCAAAAUGGGCGGUAAAUUUCAUCUAAAGCUAAAUAUUGGCGAGAGACCGAUAGCGAACAAGUACCGUGAGGGAAAGAUGAAAAGAACUUUGAAAAGAGAGUUAAACAGUACGUGAAAUUGUCAAAAGGAAAGCGUUUGACACCAGUGUUGUUUUUCUGAAAAUCAAUUAAAGAACUGUUUAUGCUAAGUUGUUUAGACUUUAUCAGCUAACUGUUUAGUUUUGAGCUUUUCUUUAAUGCACUUUUCAGUUAACAAGUCAACAUCAAUUUCUUUUGCUGUAAAAAAGCUUGAGGAAGGUGGCUUGAGAUUCGUCUUAAGUGUUUAUAGCCUCUUGCCUAUGCAGUCGGAGAGAUUGAGGUCUGCAGCGUAGAUCCUUCGGGGCUAAAUGCAUUUGUGCUAAGUUAUAGCAUUUUAUAGACAACUUGUUGACUAUGAUUUGUCUUGUAGCUUACUCGCUUAUGUUAUUUUACCUACGCUUAGGAUGUUGAAGAUAUGCGCGACACG